GACGAACGCUGGCGGCGUGCUUAACACAUGCAAGUCGAACGGAAAGGCCCUGCUUUUGUGGGGUGCUCGAGUGGCGAACGGGUGAGUAACACGUGAGUAACCUGCCCUUGACUUUGGGAUAACUUCAGGAAACUGGGGCUAAUACCGGAUAGGAGCUCCUGCUGCAGGGUGGGGGUUGGAAAGUUUCGGCGGUUGGGGAUGGGCGCGCGGCUUAUCAGCUUGUUGGUGGGGUAGUGGCUUACCAGGGCUUUGACGGGUAGCCGGCCUGGGAGGGUGACCGGCCACAUUGGGACUGAGAUACGGCCCAGACUCCUACGGGAGGCAGCAGUGGGGAAUAUUGCACAAUGGGCGGAAGCCUGAUGCAGCAACGCCGCGUUCGGGAUGACGGCCUUCGGGUUGUAAACCGCUUUCGCCUGUGACGAAGCGUGAGUGACGGUAAUGGGUAAAGAAGCACCGGCUAACUACGUG
rnacentral:rRNA from 1 species